GCUUUCUGGGACCCCGGGCGCUGCUGACCACUUCCUCCUCGGCUCCUUCCUGGCUUCCCACCACGGGCGCUGUCCAGGCGCUUGAGCGCCCCGCAGUCAGCACCGGCAGAACAGGAUCUGAUGUAGAACUCUCAGCUUCUUCUCCAGCACCAUGUCUGCCUGCACACCACCAUGCUUCCUGCCAUGACGAUAAUGGACUAAACUUCGGAAACUGAUAUUUCUUGCUGUCUUGAGUUCCUGCUGCCUGGCCAUCCCAACAUGAUGGACUUCUUUUCUCCCCUAAAUUGCUUGUUGAUGAGGUAUUUUAUCACAGUAACAGAAAUGAAAUUGUAACAGGGCCCCAGACCUUAGUAGUCUUAGUAGACCUUAGCACAACUGACUCCAUGUGGAAGUACCAUUCAGGCUGUAAAAUACGUAGAAAGUACCACCUGCCCAAACUAAAACAAGGGCGGAAUCCAUCAAAGUCCAUAGUUCCAGGAGAGUCUCUAAAUGUACUAACCUUGCUUUUUGGCUUCUGUAGUUCUGC